AAACGUAGCAAGAUAUAGGUACGAUUUUGCUAUGAAAAUUUCGUGGCAAAAUUGAUACGAAACAAACCGUAGCAAAAAUCGUGGCUAACUACAAAAAAAAUAUCUUUUAGCUACGAUUUUUGCCAGGAAAAAAAAUUCAUAGCUAUUUAAAACCCUAUACCCUAAACAUGUUUUUAACCCCAUAAACUCUAAAAGUAAAUCUUAAAUUCUAAUCUUCAUACUAUAUCUCAAAAUCUUAAACCUAAACUCAUAUUUAAUUAUUUUAAAAAUGUAAUAUCAAUUUUUAAGUCAAAACUCAAACACUAUAUUCCAAACUCUAAACUCUAUAUAUUACUCUAUAUUCCAAAUCAUGAAUCUAAACACUAAAUAUACUUUUUCAAAGUUAAACAACAAAUCUAAAACUAAAACUCAAAAGUUAAUCUUUUUUUUUAAAUUUAAUUCCAAAAUUUAAAUCUAAACUUCAAACACUAUACUCCAAACUCUAAACUCUAUAUAUUACUCUAUAUUCCAAAUCAUGAAUCUAAACACUAAAUAUACUUUUUUCAAAGUUAAACAACAAAUCUAAAACUAAAAAUCAAAAGUUAAUCUUUUUUUUAAAAUUUAAUUCCAAAAUUUAAAUCUAAACUUCAAACACUUUACUCCAAACUCUAAACUCUAUAUAUUACUCUAUAUUCCAAAUCAUGAAUCUAAACACUAAAUAUACUUUUUUCAAAGUUAAACAACAAAUCUAAAACUAAAACUCAAAAGUUAAUCUUUUUUUUUAAAUUUAAUUCCAAAAUUUAAAUCUAAACUUUAAACACUAUAUAUACUCCAAAAUCUAAACUCUAUAUAUUACUCUAUAUUCCAAAUCAUGAAUCUAAACACUAAAUAUACUUUUUUCAAAGUUAAACAACAAAUCUAAAACUAAAACUCAAAAGUUAAUUUUUUUUUUUAAAUUUAAUUCCAAAAUUUAAAUCUAAACUUCAAACACUAUACUCCAAACUCUAAACUCUAUAUAUUACUCUAUAUUCCAAAUCAUGAAUCUAAACACUAAAUAUACUGUUUUCAAAGUUAAACAACAAAUCUAAAACUAAAACUCAAAAGUUAAUCUUUUUUUUUUUUUAAAUUUAGUUCCAAAAUUUAAAUCUAAACUUCAAACACUAUACUCCAAACCGUACACUCUAACCCUAAACCUUAUACCCCAAAUCAUAAAACCCAAACACUAAUUUUAACAUUUCAAAUUUAAACAUCAAAACUUAAACAUAAACUACUAAUCUAAAAUUUUCAAAUUCUAAAUUACAAAUCAUUGAAUCAUACUUGUAUAGUUAAAAUAGUUUAAUCUUACCAUUUACAUUUAAUAACUUUAACAUUUAUUAUGAACCAUAAUUUUAAAUUUUAAUUCCAAGCUCUAUCUAUCUAAACUGUAAACUCUAUUCACUAAACUAUAAACACUAAUCAUGAAAAUAACUAUUAACCAUUAUAUUUUUAUUUUUAACUAAAUGUAAAAUAUAAAACCAAAAAUUUUAUAUUCCAAGUCUUGUUAAAUAUGGCGAUGGCUAAAGGUUUUUGGAUUAACAUAUUAAUAUACUGCGUUAUUCAAAACCACACAAUUUAAUAAUAUAAAUUUUUUUAACUUAUCUUAUCCUCUAACUUUCUUCUCAUUGGUCCAAAUGUUAUGGCAAGGAUCAUCAUCUCAACCAUUGAUAAAUUUAAAUCAAUGGCCACAAUUCACUAUUGCUUUCAUUUUCUUUUCUUCUCUUUUCGUUUCAGAUCUGAAACAUAUUCAUUAUCCCAAGUCCCAACCAUCUCUCUUUGUGCACAUCUUCUGUUCUUCUUUUCUCUACGCCAUUACAAUGUCUUCAUCUCUUUCUUCUAUUCGUCUCCUCCUCUGCCUCUCUCAUCCGUGAAGUCACCAAGAACCGUGAGGCCUCAUCUCCUCCUCUAUCUCUAUCCUCCGUGAAGUCACCGUGACGCCUCUUUCCUCCAUGACAUCUCUUCUUCAUGACGCCUCUUUUCUUCCUCUGUCGCUCUCCGUGAAGUCUCCGCCCCGAGAAUCUGGGAAAGCUUAGAGAAGACAGAAAAAGUGGCGUCGGAGAAGGCUGAGGAGCCACGCUGGUGAAGACCGAGGAGAAAUGACGGAGACGACAGGAGCUACGCCGGAUAUGGUCGAGGAGCUGGCCGGAGAGAAGAGAAACGAAGAGGAUUGGCCGGACAUUAGGUUUAAUUUGGUUUUAGCCUUUUUGGUUUAGUUUCUUAAACCUCUUUAAUUUGUUAAUGUAAAUCGAUUUAAUUUGUAUAUCAAUUCUCGUUUAAUAUUUUUACAUUUACAAAAAUUAUUAUUAUU